rnacentral:sRNA from 1 species
CUAUGUUAUUGAAGUAACUCAUCUUAAGUGUCUGUAGUGAUUGGAGAUAUUCUUGCUUAUCAAAUUGAAGUAUUUAUAAGUGAGUGACGUGAUGUCUGAGAUCUAUCUUAAAAUAAUCCAGUAGGGCAAAGAUAACUUGAGAUUGGCCAGUUGUUGAUAAUUGUUGAAGUAGGCUGAUGAGUACAUAGAAAUUUGAUACUGUUUUCUCUGCUUUUUAUCUUUAAAAGUUUCCAUAUUAAAAAGUAUUUUUAAAGGUCUAUACGUUUAGACAUCAGUAUUAACAUUUCAUCUGUUUUCUUUUUAAGGUCUGGGACCAAGUAAAGGCUUCCAACCCUGACCUAAAGUUGUGGGAGAUUGGCAAGAUUAUUGGUGGCAUGUGGCGAGAUCUCACUGAUGAAGAAAAACAAGAAUAUUUAAACGAAUACGAAGCAGAAAAGAUAGAGUACAAUGAAUCUAUGAAGGCCUAUCAUAAUUCC